rnacentral:rRNA from 1 species
GAUGAACGCUAGCGGGUGGCCUAACACAUGCAAGCCGAGCGGUAGAGAUUCUUCGGAAUCUUGAGAGCGGCGUACGGGUGCGGAACACGUGUGCAACCUACCUUUAUCUGGAGGAUAGCCUUUCGAAAGGAAGAUUAAUACUCCAUAAUAUAUUGAUUGGCAUCAAUUGAUAUUGAAAGCUCCGGCGGAUAGAGAUGGGCACGCGCAAGAUUAGUUAGUUGGUGAGGUAACGGCUCACCAAGACGAUGAUCUUUAGGGGCCUGAGAGGGUGAUCCCCACACUGGUACUGAGACACGGACCAGACUCCUACGGGAGGCAGCAGUGAGGAAUAUUGGUCAAUGGGUGCAAGCCUGAACCAGCCAUCCCGCGUGAAGGACGACUGCCCUAUGGGUUGUAAACUUCUUUUGAUAGGGAUAAACCUACCCUCGUGAGGGUAGCUGAAGGUACUAUACGAAUAAGCACCGGCUAACUCCGUGCCAGCAGCCGCGGUAAU